rfam:Parvularcula bermudensis HTCC2503 strain HTCC2503, complete genome.
CGGAGUGUAGCUCAGCCUGGUAGAGCACUGUCUUCGGGAGGCAGGGGCCGUGAGUUCGAAUCUCGCCACUCCGA